rnacentral:rRNA from 1 species
UACGUAGGGGGCAAGCGUUGUCCGGAUUUAUUGGGCGUAAAGAGCGUGUAGGCGGCUAGGUAGGUCCGUUGUGAAAACUCGAGGCUCAACCUCGAGACGCCGGUGGAAACCAUCUAGCUAGAGUCCGGAAGAGGAGAGUGGAAUUCCUGGUGUAGCGGUGAAAUGCGCAGAUAUCAGGAGGAACACCAGUGGCGAAGGCGGUGCUCUGGGCCGGAACUGACGCUGAGGAGCGAAAGCGUGGGGAGCAAACAGG